CAAGGAUACAAGUUUCGCAUUCAUCUUGAUUCAACCUGAACUCUGUGGAUUCAACACGGUGAAGAACAACGACAACAACUUUGAGCUUGGCUUUUCCUUGAAAGAGCCCCGUCCCCCCCAGUCCACCAUCCUUCACGGCCAACCCAGCUCAACCACAGUCUUCCCAGCCCAUCCCCUAUUACUUUAUCCUUCUUCCGCCCCCUCCUGCCUCCCUUUCAGGGGGAUGUGCGGGGCCUGUUCCAGAUGUGAGCUGGUCUACGUGAGUCUGCAGUGUUAAUAAACCGUGGCACCUCUGACAGAGGCCUAGGAGUGCCAAGCUCUAUGAAUUGUGGCCCAGGACACCUCCCCAUUGCAGUAAAUAGAAGUUAUCCAUGAAAAGACUUAACUCUCAUACCUCCUGCACACAGACACUUUAUGAAUGGAACUUGUACCGAAGCCAAAUCAAGCUCAUUGACCUCUUUGGCACAGGAGAGAAAUAAAGGGAGAAAUAAAGUAAAUAGCAGCCUGUGUGUCAGCUAAUAACUUCCCUCCCAGCUUGAUCGAUGUGUACUUCACUCAAAACAAGAUGGCCCAUUUUAAAAUGAGCUCCACAUACACACACCUCAAAAUUCAGCCAUAAGAAAAUAAUGUCCUCAAAUAAAAUGUGAGCUAAAACAUUAAACCAUCACCCAAAUAGACAUGUGGUUAAAUCUUAGUUGAGAACCACAUGAAACAAACAGAUGUGUAUAAUUAUAGUGGGAUAACAAUACAGAACAUGUUGAAAAGCUGAACUGUUCUUGAGAAAUAAUUUGAGUGUUCACUGGAUGUUUGCUUGUCUGUAUGAUGUACAACCCUGGCAAGAGGCUUCCGAGACAGAUACACUGGCUUGCUCUAUGGCUCAGGCUAGAAAGGAGUAAGUGCGCCAUACAGUGGCAAGCCCAUAAAAAGUCCCAAAUUCAAAUGUAAAGUAAUGUGAUUGAGGAGCAAAAACAUUUGGGUGAAAGGAACACUGAGUAAAUAGAAUAAUUAAGAAUAAAAAUACAGGAAAUCUGACUUUUGUUCAAACAUUUUACCUAGAUAUGUUCUCUAGCACUACAUAGUUUAUAUUGAUAAUAAAUCUCAAUUUACAACACUUUGUGUU